AAUUAUAUUUUUGGUCUAUAUUUAAAUAAAACCUGAACCGACACCCGAAACCAAGAACAAAACCAAAAUCAGAUAAAAACAUAAUAUAUAAAAUACAAUUUUUAUAUAUUUUUUAGUAAUUAAUAUAUAUUAAUAAUUUAAUUUAAUAUUUAUAUAUUAAAUACUCAAAUUUAGAUUUACAAAAAUUCUUUUGAAAUACCUAUUA
rnacentral:lncRNA from 1 species